AGAAGUCGCCCAUGUUCUUUUCG
rnacentral:miRNA from 1 species